GUCGGGAUACUGGCCGGUGAAAAUCGUUGGGCGACUUGGCACGCA
rnacentral:sRNA from 1 species